rnacentral:rRNA from 1 species
ACUCCUACGGGAGGCAGCAGUGGGGAAUAUUGCACAAUGGGGGAAACCCUGAUGCAGCCAUGCCGCGUGUGUGAAGAAGGCCUUGGGUUGUAAAGCACUUUCAGUAGGGAGGAAGGUAGUGUAGUUAACACCUGCAUUAUUUGUACGUUACCUACAGAAGAAGCACCGGCUAACUCCGUGCCAGCAGCCGCGGUAAGUACGGAGGGUGCGAGCGUUAAUCGGAAUUACGUGGGCGUAAAGCGCAUGCAGGCGGCCUGUUAAGUCAGAUGUGAAAGCCCGGGGCUUAACCUCGGAAUUGCAUUUGAAACUGGCAGGCUAGAGUCUUGUAGAGGGGUUAGAAUUUCAGGUGUAGCGGUGAAAUGCGUAGAGAUCUGAAGGAAUACCGAGUGGCGAAGGCGGCCCCUGG